AUGUCUUCUAAAAGUCUGGUAGUUGUUCUCUUUGACAUCUGGUGGGAGGGUGUUCCACAGGGCGGGUGCCACUACCAAGAAGGCCCUCUACCUGGUUCCCUGUAACUUGGCUUCUCGCAGUGAGGGAAUGGCCAGAAGGCCCUCGGAGCUGGAUCUCAGUGUCCGGGUAGAACAAUGGGGGUGGAGACGCUCCUUCAGGUUCCUACCUUUACAGAUGAAAUGGCUUGCAACUAGGGUACACCAAGGAAUGGUUUCUACCAUUCCACCCAUCUUGCUAGUUAGCAUCUCCCAUGUGCUCUGGCUCUGGGAAGGUCUGAGGCACCUUAUGAGAUCUUCCAUCAAGGACAACAGCCACCAGAGUGUAGACUGAUGCUGAGAGAUGCUGCUUUAAGUGACACCCCAACUCUAUGCAUAAUGUACUGUUUCACCCUAUUGUUUCAGCCUAUGGUCCUGCAAAAUCAAAGGUCACCUCCAAAUUUAUAGUUUGCCAAAGAAAAUCAAUUAAACUCCUUUAACACAAAACCCAUAGUUCAGAAGCUCCAGCGGCAUAAAUUCCAUUCACUGACUCCCAUCAUGCAACCCUUAGUUAUUUGAUUUAGAGAAAAAUGGGGCAGUGUCCUUUUACCUCGCAGUUCCCAGUGUUUAACGAAGCCUCUAAAAUUUAGUCUUGUGGAGUGGAAAGGUUGCCUUCCAUGUAUUUCAUCCGAACGGCUAAUUACAGAGAAGGUGGUUUAUGUUCAUAAAACCAGAUGGAAACCCAUGUACAGAUCCUUCCCCUCCUUGUGCUCUUUUCCUGCCUAGAGUCUUGACGCUGCUGACAGCUUCGAGGGUCACCCAGCAUGAAUUAGUCACCUGGACCUGGGAACCAGCCAGCUAAUGUAAUGGACUGUCAAUGUGUGUCCAGAUCGACAGCAAUCGAUGGGGCAAGCUUAAAAAGAAUAAUUAGAGGCGACGCGAAAGAAAGACUCUGAAUACAGUGAGUGGAGUACAAUACAGCUCAUUAGUGGGCUUCUGAGGCCAGCGUCCCUUGCCCUUGGCAGUACUAGAGGUCCCCAGCUUCCUUUCUCUGGGCUUUGGGCCAUAGGAACUGGAGGGUGGCAGGCAGAAUUGUUUGUUCAAUUCCUUCGCUGCAUUUGGCUAGCACAAGCUGCUGGCACCAUGCAGCAGUCAUUUGUAGAAAGGCAUUCAUAUACAACGUGAUUGGCUGCUCUGCUCUGCUCUCUGUAGCCAAUUGCAAGUCAUUAGAGAGUUCUCCGGCAGUCUUCAUUGGCUUACCGUUGCAUCUGGAUGAAGCUCAAGAUGCAGAAUAGAAUUCGACAAAGGUACCCCUGGUUUGCUAACCUCCUCCGUACCCAGGGGGCAAACUGGCAUGUUAUGACCUGAAGCCUCUUUCUCUCUCGCUGCCACAAGAAAAGCCACUUUGGCAUGAGGAAAUUUGUAGUGGACCAACAGGGAGUAUGUGUGUACUCAAGCCUUGCCCCACACACAGUUUUUCUGAUCCAGACUUUCCUCAAGUUGCUUUCCACCACAUAUUCCCUAAAGGAGCAAAUGGCAGCUAAUCACUUAUAUGAAUUAUUAUUAAAGUAAGUGGCGCUGUGGGUUAAACCACAGAGUCUAGGACUUGCCAAUCAGAAGGUCGGUGGUUCGAAUCCCCGCGACGGGGUGAGCUCCCGUUGCUUGGUCCCUGCUCCUGUCAACCUAGCAGUUCGAAAGCACCUCAAAGUGCAAGUAGAUAAAUAGGUACCACUCCAGCGGGAAGGUAAACGGCGUUUCCGUGCACUGCUCUGGUUCGCCAGAAGCGGCUUAGUCAUGCUGGCCACAUGACCCGGAAGCUGUACGCCGGCUCCCUCGGCCAAUAAAGCGAGAUGAGCGCCGCAACCCCAGAGUCGGUCACGACUGGACCUAAUGGUCAGGGGUCCCUUUACCCUUUACCUUUAAGUAUGGGUAUUGUGGGAGAUUGCUAGGAUGGGGUCCAAACCCAACAACCUCCCCUGGUUUUCACAAUUUCUUGGUACAGUGGUACCUCGGGUUACAGACACUUCAGGUUACAGACUCAGCUAACCCAGAAAUAGUACCUUGGGUUAAGAACUUUGCUUCAGGAUAAGAACAGAAAUUGUGUGGCGGCAGUGGGAGGCCCCAUUAGCUAAAGUGGUGCUUCAGGUUAAUAACAGUUUCAGGUUAAGAAUGGACCUCCAGAACGAAUUAAGUUCUUAACCCGAGGUACCACUGUAAUAGCAAGCCUCAGCUCUCCCUUAGCAGACAUACUCAUUUUGUUGCCAUUUCCCUUUCUCCAUGCUGUCAUUUACUUCGUCAUAGGAUCAAGGUGGCCCCUACCUGCCUUGCCUUGCUCCCUCGUGCUCAUGGCAUUUCUUUUCAGAUUAAAUGUGAUGCCAGGGUUGGAGAUAAUCCUUCUCCCUGGUUACAGGUCUGUGGCUGGAAUAAACAGUUCCUUCCUUCCUGUGGUGCCAGAAAGUUAGAGAACCCAGGAAUUUGACUUUCUUCUGUUACCUUGUAAUGGGCAUGCCAUCGUAACCUAGCUCAGGAGUGAGAAACCUUCUGUCUGAGGGUCAGUCUCUUCUGAGCAACCUUCCAAGGACCACAUGCCAAUCAUGGUGGGGCGGAGGCAAAGGUGGGCGGAGCAAUUAAUGUAAAUUGUACCUUUGUGCUUCAUCCAUCAGGAGAAGCAGAGGGCAUGAUCAGAUUCCGAGGAUACUUUCCAGUCAGGCAAAGUCAUAGAAUCAUAGAAUUGAGGCGAGGAGAGUAGCCCACACAUUUGCCCGCUGUCAUAGCGCAACUUCUUUUGUUAUGGUGGUGCUUAAGUGGCAACCAUGAUCAUUAUCUCACAAAGAAACUGACUAGUUCAACAACUGAAUCCUCCAUUAGAUCUUAACUCCUACUGGGCACAGGAAGAAGGGGCUGAGGACGCCAUGCAGACCGACCACCCCACAAACUCACAACAGUAUCGUAAUGCUGUUCCCUAGUUCCCAACCUCAACUGCAAGGAACCCCGUAGGUGUGACCAUAUGUGUCUACAUCAGAGAAGGGGAAGCUGUAGCCCUGUGGUUGCUGUACUCCAGCUUCCAUCAGCCCCAGCCAGCAUAAUCAAUAGUCGAAGAUGAUGGAGUCCAGCAACAUCUGAAGCGUCACAGGUUCCUCAUCCCUGAUCUAUGUCACCAGGUGUCUUUGCAAAAAGAAGUCCUCCCUCUAGGUAACCCUAAGCCAUAAUCAUGAUAGGCAUUUUGCUUGUUCUUAAGAUAGCACAGAGAAACGUAUAAUUAUGUGGUUGUAAUGCUGCUCUAAAUGACUAGAAAGGAUGGAUAUAAUUGAAAAGGGAGAGUGCAUCUAUGUUAUCUGACUUAUGGACACCAGCUAAUAUAUUCUAAGCAUCAAAGGAAAAUAGAAAGAGCACAAAUAGACUAACCUCAUCAAUUACAUCAAAGCAACCAGAUUUCAUAAAUGGGGGGGGGGGGAUAUUGAAAUGUGAAUCAAAGAUGCAAACCUUCUCAUAGGUGAGAAGAAGAAUAUGUGCUCUUGUGUAAUAUAGCCUGCAUGACUCAAAUGCUUGUCUUCUAGUAUCCUCCCAUUUAUAAAAUGGUGCAUAAUUUCAGUUGUCCCUAUUUAUCAGGAAUAGUCCUGUUCUAUGACACAUCUUUCGUGGGCUGCAGAGCCUGAUCUCCCUGGGGAUGCCCUUGCAAAAUGUUGGGAUUGUGGUAAACUAGAGUUACCAUUCUUCUAGUUUCAAUCUCCCUUGCUCCUUAAACCUUUGAGUUGGGGAUGUGUGCAUUUUUAAGCCGAUAUUUCCAUCUCUCCACGGAUGUGCUAUAUAAGGUUUAAAAUUGAUUGCUGUUAAUCUAGCUGACUUUUUAGGGUUUUAGGAUUGCUUUAAAGGCUUAACAAGUGGGGCUCUGCAGCAAAGCGUUACAGAAUGGAGUGCGGCUGUUGAGAUUUUUAUUGCUAUUCCAUCCAGUUUUCUGCAACAAUCAUUCAGCCUCCCAUAUGCACAGAAUAUGCUCAGUCUGCAUUGGGCUGUUCAGGUUCUUCUGUCCCCCAUUCAGUUUUGUUUUUGUGAAUGUGGGGGAUUGGCACCCAAUCCCAGCUUCUCUUAACAUCAUGGAUUUCUUAAUUGACUUCUAUGGGCAGCUAUCUCUUCAGUCCUGGAUACAUUUUAAAAUGGCUAUUCAGUGUAAACCAGAAAAAUAGCCUACCUAGACAAUGGAAUAGUUAUCUCAACCUUUUUCUAUAUACCGACAUGCCUUCUUUUCCAGCCAAUCCACUCUGUUCCUCCUCCUACCAGCUUUGUGUUCCCCAACAGUCAGCCAAGCAAACAAUUCAAGCCCACUGAAUGAAUUCUGUCCUCACUGAGCUGUUUUGAGGUUUACCCUUUAGAGGGUGCUUUUAAAAAAAAACUGGGCAAAACUACCGUACUUUACACUUCUGGGGGUUUCCCUGAGUCUGUUGAUAACUCUCGUGUGUGUGUGUGUGCGUGUGUCCACAUGCUGUUGUGGCUUUGUAAGUGCUUGCCCUCUCCCCUAAAAGAUCAGAAAUAGAAUAUAAAGUGUUUGCAUUGUGCUCUUAUUUCUUUUCUUGUGUGCUCCUUUGAGUGCUCUUUGGCAGACAGUGCCCCUUGCAAAUGCCUGAAAUAAAUAUUAAAUAAUAAUCCUCUUGUUUAUCUCUUGAGCGCAGGCAUGUGAGCAGCGUGACUCUGGGGCGCUGUGUAGUGCAAAGCCUGCUGCCGCUUGCACAGUCCAUUUAUGUUGACUUUUUAAUCACAUUUAUAGCCCCCUUUUAAAAAUAAAACAAAUGACUUACAAUGUAGUGAACAUAAUUGAAUCGCAACUCAGAUCACAAUUAGAGAUCCUAAAAUCAACAUACACUAAAAAGAAACAUGAGGGAUAAAACUUCAAGCCAUAGAGCAAAAUGGUACUCAGACCCCUUGGAUCUAGUCCAACUCCUCAAAAGGUAAAGGUAAAGGUACCCCUGACAGUUAAGUCCAGUCAUGAACAACUCUGGAGUUGUGGUGCUCAUCUCACUUUACAGGCUAGGGGAGCCGGCGUUUGUCCGCAGGCAGCUUUUCCAGGUCAUGCGGCCAGCAUGACUAAGCCACUUCUGGUGAAGCCAGAGCAGCGCAGGGAAACGCCGUUUACCUUCCCAGCAGAGCAGUACCUGUUUAUCUACUUGCACUGGGUGCUUUUGAACUGCUAGGUUGGCAGGAACUCAUCCCGUCGUGGGGAUUCGAACCGCUGACCUUCCGAUCAGCAAGUCCAAGCAGCACAGUGGUUUAAACCACAGCGCCACCCACGUCCCAGUUAGUCUAACUCCUUAGUGUCUUCUUAUAAAGCAAGAAACUUGCAGUAAGAAGGGUGUCAGAAAAAGUAUCAUACAGUGGUACCUGGGGUUAAGAACUUACUUCAUUCUGGAGGUCUGUUCUUAACCUGAAACUGUUCUUAACCUGAAACUGUACCAUUUUAGCUAAUGGGGCCUCCCAUUGCUGUCGUGCCACCGCCACACGAUUUCUGUUCUCAUCCUGAAGCAAAGUUCUUAACCUGAGGUACUAUUUCUGGGUUAGCGGAGUCUGUAACCUGAAGCGUCUGUAACCUGAGGUACCACUGUAAUGGAAAGGUCUCUGACAGCCACUUGCCCGAAGAGUUUGCCCAUUCUCCUGAAGGACAGUCCAAACUAGAUGUUACGGGAAGCAUGUUUAAGAGUUUGUUUUUUCUCCUGUGUUCUGCCACAAAGCUUAGGACUUUGUAAGUCACCCAUGUGCCAAACCAUGUCAUUCAGUUAUGGAAUUCUGUUUCUUGUAGAGAUGCAUAAUGUCAUUCUACUGAUGAAGCUAAGCACGUGUGGGCUGGUAAGCAGAAGAGGAAACUUCAUGAGAACCAUUUUUAAGUUGCUUUGAGAUCUUCUGACAAAGAAUGGCAUUGAGGUGUAAUGCAUUCACAUAGCUGUCAAGUGUCCCUUAUUUGAAGGGACAGUCCCUUAUUCCAGCGCCAUGUCCCGCUGCUGUCCCUUAUUGAUGGAUGUCCCUUAAAUGUCCCUUAAAUGAUGUCCCUUAAAUUUCAAAGGAAGCAGCUCCUCUCCUUCCCUCCCUGCCAGCCAGGGAGGAGGGAGGCUCCAGCUGUGUUGCUUGGCUGUGUUGCUCACCCAAUAAGAAGUCUAAGAACGACUAGGGGGUGGAGCUUGCAUGCCUUGUGUGUGGCUAGUUAAUGCAAGCUGAGGGGUUUUUUGAAUGCUGGACGCCAUUUUAUUGCACAUGCUGCUGCAAACUUUGCAGUGCAAAGCCAGGCCGGGGAGCCAUCUUAAGUAGAGGCUGCAUAGGCCUUGCGGUGCAUGUGAUUCAGAUUCUAUUCAGUUGAACCUCUGGUUACAAAGUUGGUUGGACAGUGUUCUCGAAGCUACCAGCAUGAGUUUGACCAGACUGCAGGAGGACAGGAAGACUGGAGUGCCUGGAACAGGUGAGGCUGCAGGUCCCUUAUUGUGGCUGCUGGUCCCUUAUUUUCAAGGCUGCUGGUCCCUUAUUUUCAAAUCUGUAAGUUGACAGCUAUGAUCAUUCAUGCCACAAGUCACACCGAGUCCUGUGAAUGGAACUGCAUCAGAUUCUUUACAUCUACAGAGGUUCAUAUCCAUACAAACAUUCAUCGUUUCCCAUCCAGGAAGGAAUCUAUGCUUGGAAUCUGCUUCCAUAUUCACACAUUUCCCUUGCUUGGAUCAGUGUGACAAUGUUCAUCUUUGCUCAAGUAUUACCAAUGGACAUCCAUUCAUAAUCUCUGGAAGAUGGAUGUAUUUUAUUUUCCCUUUUAAAUCGCAGAAAUCUGCCCUGUUUCAGCUUGAUAUGAAGAUAAAAUAUAUUGGUUGGUGAGCUAUGACAAGGCUACAGUAAGGACACCGGCUGCCGGCAUGAUACAUUUGCUCGUCCAGUACCUCCCAACCUUUCACAGGUGCUUGUGUUGUAAUGAAGACAAAUAUAUCCAUUUAUUUCUCCAGGUUUUAAGGAAGGUAAAAAUAGAGCUAUUACAAUUAAAGAUCCCUUCUGGCAUUUAUUUGUAUAUUACCUUUCAACCACAUCCUGGACUAUUCGUUCAAGGUCAAAAUCACUGCACAUUAUGCCUGUAUUAAGGGAGAGGAGUAUAUGGAGUCCACACAGAGACACAGAUCUCUGCACCUUUAAAAUACAGAAACUUGUGGAAUACAAAAUACUACUGUGAAUACAAAUACUUUUGUAUUUUUAAUCACCCUUCACUAUAAGAUCCCCACAACUACUCUAUUCCGAACUUAAAAUUGGAAAGCAUAAUGCUGGUGGUCAACAAAAGAGGUUUAAAGACUCUCUCAAGGCAAAUCUUUAAAAGAAUGCAGUAUAAACACUGACAACUGGGAAACACUGACCUGCGAGUGCUCCAAUUGGAGAUCAGCCUUUACCAAAGGUGUCAUGGGCUUCGAAGAUGCUCAAACUCAGGACGAAAAGGAGAAGCAUGUGAAGAGGAAGGCACACUUGGCAAACCCUCACCAUGAUCAACUCCCGCCUAGAAACCUAUGUCCCCACUGCGGAAGGACGUGUGGAUCCAGAAUUGGCCUCCACAGUCACUUAUGGACUCACUGUUAAAACUGUGUUUAUGGAAGAUAUUCUUUUUGGAAGAAGAAGACUAUAAGGUCCCACAAUAGGUAACAUCUGGAAAAAUACAAUACAAUACAAUACAAUACAAUACAAUAAAAACACACCCACCCUAUAAUCUCAUACAAUAAAGUGCAUAUCAGCAAACCAGAGGAUAUACAUGGAAACGUUAACAACACUAGAUAACCUGCCAAAAGUUACAGAAAAGAGGUGUACCUUCAAUGACUGCCUAAAGUUGGAAAGACGUGGCACCUGUCUCACUGCUAUAGAGAGUGAGUUCCACAGUUUGGGGACCAUUACAGAGAAGGGUAUCUCACACGCUACAAAACUCACACACACACCCUGAGGGAGACUGCACCAGAAGAAAAGCUUUUCCAACAGAUUGUAAUACCCUGACUGGCACAUAGGGGUGGAGACACUCUUACUGAGAGCCAGUGUGGUGUAGUGGUUAAGAGCGGUAGUCUCGUAAUCUGGGGAACUGGGUUCACGUCUCCGCUCCUCCACAUGCAGCUGCUGGGUGACCUUGGGCCAGUCACACUUCUUUGAAGUCUCUCAGCCCCACUCACCUCAUAGAGUGUUUGUUGUGGGGGAGGAAGGGAAAGGAGAAUGUUAGCCGCUUUGAGACUCCUUAAAGGGAGUGAAAGGCGGGAUAUCAAAUCCAAACUCUUCUUCUUCUUCUUACAGGUAUCUGUGACCAAAGUUGUGACUGGACAAACCUGUGUAGAGCUUUGGAUUGAGUACAUAAGAGAAUAGCAACCAGUGCAGCUGUUUCAGGGCAGGUGCUUUCUCAUCCUAAUUGAUGUUCCAGCCCAAAGACAGAUGGUGGCAUUCUGCACUAGCUGUAGCCUCUGGACCAUCUUCAAGUGAGGCCUCAGAGGAUGCCAGAGCAUGGAGUACAGUGGCCAUUCAUGUCCAGCAAGGAUAGUAGCUCCUAGUCAGAGAAACCACCUGGGCCUCAAGUAGUGUCAGGGACUGGGCAGAGGAGGAGGACACUGGAGAGGGAGGUGAUGUUAGGGGCUGGGCGGAGGAGAAGCAGUGGUGGAGACCGCCUCUUCAUCCCGACCCUUCCAGGGAGGAGGAAGAGGAGGAAAAAGACAGUAUAGAUUUAUAACAGGAGUUUGCAGGAGGUCACAGCUCAGAGGCAGAUGAGGGGGGAAGCUGGGGAAAAAUGGGAGAGAAGGAACAGGCAGAGCCGGAGCAGUAGCUGGCUGACACAUUGUCACUAGAAAGCUUUCCAGACCCACCAUCUCCCAGAACCUUGCGAGUCUUAAAAGUAGGAGAGCAAAGAGCUGUAAGACAGAGGACACUUAGCGACACCAGUAGAAGAGAUGAUGGUGACGAAUUAGGAAGUGGGAGAGAAUUAAAAAACCUGAAGCAUUUUUAUUAGUGAUUGUAGGGAAAGAUCUGCCAAAAAAGCUGAAAAACAUCUUCAUGUAUGCAACAACGGCUGAUAGAGUUCUGGUAGCACAAGGAUGGAAGACUGAAGAAACCCCAACUAAGAAACAUGGCAAGAAAAAUUGAUGGACUAUGCAGAACUGGCAAAACUGACAUACAAGCUACGGGACAAGGAUAACUGUGACUUUAAAGAAGAAUGGGAACCCUUUACGAAGUAUUUGAAGAUACAACAAAGUGAACUGGACUCCUCGGCUGGUUUUGAAUAAACAUUCACAAACUUUUUAUUGAUAAUAAUCAGCUAGAUAGUUUGAGGAUUUAUACAACUGUGUAACAUUCAGAAAACAGCAUUCUUAGAGAACUCAAAGACUGGAACUGAGGGAAGUCGGGGGUGGGGGUGGAUGGGUUCUGUUGGGGGAGGGAGGAAAAAUGGGGGGAAAUAAGGAUGAUAUGUUUCUGGAUAAUAUGUUUUGUUUUAAUUUUGAAUAAAAGUUAUUUAAAAAACAAAAAAGGAAGUGGGAGAGAAGGAGGGGUGGAGAUUCACUCGGGACAACGCCAUUCUCCAAGAGGCUGGGUUCUAUAGCCUCUCUUUGUAAUGUUUGAAAUAAAAAAGGACUGUAAGACACUUUCCCUUGUUUUUAUACUUCCCUGCAAAACCAGCUGGGUGCCACUGACAGCACCCUGAGAAGAUUGUCCUUGGGAGGGUCAGGAUGGGGAGACGGACUCCACCACUCCUCCUCCUGUGCCCAGUCCCUGACAAGUGGCAAUAAUGACUCCAGGAUAGACCCCCAUUAUGUAUCUAUUCCUUCUAGUUGAGUGCAAGCUCAUCCAGAACAGGCCACCUCAUGGACCUGAUGACUUGGGACACAUAACACGUUUCUUUUAUCUGGAUUCAGCUUCAAUUCGUGGAUGAUGAAGAGACUGAGAUGUAUGCAAAACGCCUCUGAAGAAGGGCCGCCUGCUAAAGAAAAGAUCCCAUAGAUUCCCUGAAUAAAUCUUUAAAUAAAUAGAGUCCCCAAUAAAUCUUUU
rnacentral:lncRNA from 1 species